UAUCUUCUAUUUUUCUACUGUAAAAUCACACUCAGCCACACGCUCACACACGUCUGACAUUGAAAAGACAGGGAUUUUUCUUGUUUUGCCGUAUUUUCUAACCUCUUAGAAUGUUAUUAGAAGUCGUAAUAAAAUAAUUUGAAUAUAAAGCUAUGUUUUAAAGUAAAUAAAGACCAUUUAACGAUGUUAACAUGAUGAGACAUCGAUUUUAUGGAAUGGAGGAGAAGAUUUAACAGCUAGAAAUUAACAAAAAUCCUGCAAGAGCAUCGAGAUCUCGCUUUUGGCGAGUGGAAGUCCAAAGGCAAAGUGCAGCGGUUUGCAGUUCUUAGCCUCACUUUUUUGGACCUAACAAGACAGGAAAAGAAUAGUCAAAGAGGAAACCCGAGUAGCCAGAUGAUAAUAUAUGAAACCAUGAGCAGCCAGCCAUUGAAACUCUCAGCAAUUUGAAUAACAAUUUUGAUUGAUUACCAAUCAUGUAUCAUACCUAUUAAUAGAAAAUUAAAACUGUUAGGUACCUAUGUUUUAAUUGAAAUUCAAAAUAUUGUUUAAUGUUUUAUAAGUAUUUAUUAAAUAAAUUGUCACACAUAUAUUUUGUUUUAAUCCCAUUAAUGUCUAUUUGCCCGCAAGUGUUGAUGGUAUUUCUUAAGUGUGCCUAGGAACCUUAGUCCUAUUACUUAUUCUGUGCCGGAGCUGGAUCUUUGUAAGGUUUGGGUAGGGUAGGUACCUGUAAUGAUUAAUAAAUGUUGAUGAGUAGAAUACUAUAACAUUAAUUUUAUAGUUAUUAGUUUAGGUAAAUAAGUUUAUUAAGAUCUAAAACUUUCUGGCUAAAACACUUACGAGCAAAGGUAUGGAAUCACCCUGUUGUGUUUUGUUCUGUAUGAUCUUAAGAACUGAAUGCAUAUGACAUUUGUAUAAAAUAGUUCAUGGAUAAAUCUUAUGUAGGCAUGAGUACCUACCUACUUCUCCGAGUAU